rnacentral:tRNA from 1 species
GGAGUGAUGACUGAGCGGUUGAAAGUACCGGUUUUGAAAACCGGCAUGCGUGAGCAUCAGGGGUUCGAAUCCCUUUCACUCCG